CUACGUGCCAGCAGCCGCGGUAAUACGUAGGUCCCGAGCGUUGUCCGGAUUUAUUGGGCGUAAAGCGAGCGCAGGCGGUUAGAUAAGUCUGAAGUUAAAGGCCGGGGCUUAACUCCGUGUAUUGCAGUGGGUACGGGCAGACUAGAGUGCAGUAGGGGAGACUGGAAUUCCUGGUGUAGCGGUGGAAUGCGCAGAUAUCAGGAGGAACACCGAUGGCGAAGGCAGGUCUCUGGGCUGUAACUGACGCUGAGAAGCGAAAGCAUGGGGAGCGAACAGGAUUAGAUACCCUGGUAGUCCAUGCCGUAAACGAUGAGUGCUAGGUGUUGGGUCCUUUCCGGGACUCAGUGCCGCAGCUAACGCAUUAAGCACUCCGCCUGGGGAGUACGACCGCAAGGUUGAAACUCAAAGGAAUUGACGGGGGCCCGCACAAGCGGUGGAGCAUGUGGUUUAAUUCGAAGCAACGCGAAGAACCUUACCAGGUCUUGACAUCCCUCUGACCGCUCUAGAGAUAGAGCUUUCCUUCGG
rnacentral:rRNA from 1 species